CUUACACACACAGACAGACUGCUGAAUACACACACACAUACACUGCUGAAUACACACAAACCGCAAAAAACACACACAGACUGCUGAAUACACAUAUAUAGAGACUGCUGUAUAUAUACACAGGCUGCUGAAUACACACACAUACAGACUGCUCAACACACACACACAGGCUGCUGAAUACACACAUACAGACUGCUGAACACGCACACAGAC